CACUUGUGGCAACAGCGCUGGCAAUAGACACGUUGAGAGUUCCAGGUACAUGGAAUGACAGUCCAGGUCACGCUGCCCUAGGACUGGCUCUAGUCAGAGCUGUCAUUUUUGCUAUAUUAAGGUUUUAUUUAAUGCUAUGGAAUAUUCGGGUUUGGUGCAAUUAUUGGAGAAAGUAACUUAGAAUCUUUGCCUGCAGAUGUUCAAGAUCAGAAUUCAUCAGCAAAUGCUUUUGUUUCACAACAAAAUUACCAUCGUUACCCGUAGCCUACCUCUGCUUCUUCAUUUUGUUUUGAGAAUCCCCUUAAUGAAACAUCUUUAUGUAAUGUCUACAUAAGAAUUCAGACAGAGAACAGGAAUUCAGGAUGACUGUUCAAAGUUGGGGAGGUUCUACAACAUUGGCUGGAUAACCAAUAAGAGAAGUAAUGCUGCUAAUACAAAGCUGAGCAUUCUCGUUGAGGUUGGAUGCAGCACAUGAGUCACAGCAGGCACAGGCUUGUUCUAAAAUCUGAUUGAGACCAACGGGACUACUUGUCUUUAAUUUCGUGAAGCUGGAUUGCUUCAGAGGAAUCAAAAAUCAGGUAUGCACGAGGUUACACUGGAAUCUCACAGCAUCUUUCCCUGGAUACGUUUCAGGCUCAACAGGUCUACCACCAAAGGGCAAGACACUUAAAAAACACAACGGCACUCAAAAAAGUCCCUUUAAGCUUAGCUGCAUCUCCGGGAACCCAACUCAGUUCUGCUGCCCUGACUUCUCCUGCCCUCCUGUUACCCGCCGGGGACCUUCCCCACUUCCGUGUCCCGCGGCCGUGCCAGGCGUUGCGGAGGGAUUUUCCCCUGGGCAGGGUGUGCUGGAUUUAGGUGCAAAUCCACUUCCUCGUCGGCCGCCGCAAUCCUUCGCCUCGCACCUUCUCCGGAAGGAAGGAAGGAAGGAGGCAAGGGUCCGGCUGCCCCCGAGCCCCGGCAGCGCUCUCCGGGCAGCGCUCCCACUCUGCGGGAAGCUGGGGCGCUUCGGGUGGGCGGCCCCUGUGCCCACGGCCCCUCGCAGACAUUCCCCAUCCCGCUCCUGCUCCGCGCUGGCUCCGGCAGGAGCCCAGCCAGCGGCGCGCCCCCGCCCUUCCCCGCCGCGUCCCCUCCGC